rnacentral:rRNA from 1 species
UACGUAGGGUGCGAGCGUUGUCCGGAAUUAUUGGGCGUAAAGAGCUCGUAGGCGGUUUGUCGCGUCUGCUGUGAAAACUCAGGGCUUAACCCUGAGCUUGCAGUGGGUACGGGCAGACUGGAGUUCGGCAGGGGAGACUGGAAUUCCUGGUGUAGCGGUGAAAUGCGCAGAUAUCAGGAGGAACACCGAUGGCGAAGGCAGGUCUCUGGGCAUUAACUGACGCUGAGGAGCGAAAGCAUGGGGAGCGAACAGG